GGAUCAGAAACGCUGAGAUUGUUCGUUCAGCCAAAACCCGGAAGAAAAAACAGAAAAAAGGAAAUUGAGAAUAAAAAUAAUUAUAAAAGGGUAGAAGGGGAAAGCUCCAAAAUUGAAGAGAGGUUGAAAGAAAUGUUUAGAAGAAGCAAGUUUCUCUCUUUUCCAAUGGUGAUUGGAGCAGUCAUAAUUGGAGUUGUUUCUGGGAAGGCGAUAUUUGGACCUCCUCUUGAUGAUUACUGGAAAAAGAAGCUGCAAGAGGAGGCUGCUGCGAAGCAGAACGACGGUAAGUCAACUUAGCUGAUGUCUUUAUUAAAUUUUGUCCGAUCCGGUUGUUUCCGAAAAGUGGAAAAUGGGAGUUCCGCGACCAGUUUGACUUUGAAGAUGCUUAAGCUGUGUUAAACAUUUGCUGCCUUAUCUUGAUGUUAUUCAAGCUCGGAAGUUAUGUAUGGAGGAAAAGCUGGUAUACAUCAAUGCAUUUUGUUCACAAUAGGUUAUAGGAUGUAUUUCUUCUUGAUACUGCUUUUUCUGUUAAGAUAUGAAAGAAUAAGCAACUUCUUUUGGUGAGCA